rnacentral:rRNA from 1 species
GACAGAGGUCCCGAGCGUUAGGCGGAAUCACUGGGCUUAAAGCGUGUGUAGGCGGAUUUGUAAGUACCUUGUGAAAUCCCACGGCUCAACCGUGGAACCGCUUGGUAUACUGGUUCUCUUGAGCCACUUAGGGGCUACCGGAACAAAUGGUGGAGCGGUGAAAUGCGUAGAUAUCAUUUGGAACGCCAAUGGUGAAAACAGGUAGCUGGGAGUGUGCUGACGCUGAGACACGAAAGCCAGGGGAGCGAACGGG